ensembl:lncRNA
UGAUUAUUCACCACGUCUAACGUUCUAUCUACUUGUUUUUCUUUGUGUGUGUGUACAUAUAUAUAAAUACCUUGCUACGUGUACUUGCUUUAGGCUAACAGAGACUUGUCAUUUGCACUUACAUAUUGCUGCUCUUUUGUUAGUUUUGAUUGCUUCUAUUGUCCUCAUUUGUAAGUCACUGCUAAAUGACUAAAUGUAAAUGUAAAUACUACAUAUGAUAUAUAUGAAUAGACAAUUAUAUAGAACAAAUAUGCAUUCAGUUAAAAUUAAUUUUACAUGUAUCUAUGGUUUUGUUUCGUAAUGUCAUUUAAAAAAAAUAAAUUCAAGGGAUUAUUAUUAUUUUUAUUUUUUUUUUUUUGAGGCUGAUGAAAGAUUUUUAAAAAAAUGUAUUUUAAAAAAAUGUAUAACAUAGGACAUAUAUGUUGUUAAUAGAACUUUUACAUAUUUUUACCAGUGUUUUUGUUUUGUAUUGUUUCAGAUUUUGAAUUCAUGGGUUAAUGAAUGAGAGGAGCGAGCAAUACUCUUUAGCUGUGGCUAUAUUAACAGUAUAUCUUGGCAUUUUGUAUCUUAUUGCUUAAAUAAUAAAGAAAUGACUGAGACUGCAGUGUUCAAAAACUACUCCAUCACAUUAGUCUACUGCAGGUGUUUCUCAGAUCAUGGCUGUACAUAAAUAUGAAGGAAUUGAACACAGCUUUUUAAUGUGGUUCAUCUGGCCAUCUGUAUGUGAUGUAUAAUAGCACUGAUUCAGUCUGACUGCUGUCAGAUUAUAGGCCCUGCAGCCAAAGUUUUUAACAGACAAGACAGUGCAGAAUGAACAGGGAGUACAUCAUGACAUUUCCUUCACACUCUGAUUGCUUGUGUGCGCAUGGGUCUGUUUGUUUGUUGUGGGCUGCAAAGUCUGAGUGUUCAUCAGAAAUCCGCUACAACCCAGCAGAGGGUAUAAUUUACAGUGAUUGCAUUUGAAUACUCUCUGACACAUACGCUCUGUGACAAUUCUCCUUUCUUUCUUUCUUUCUUUCUUUCUUUCUUUCUGCUCUUCAUUCUUCCUCAAUUGGUUUGUCUCACUCUUUUUCACUGAGCAGGUUGGGGCAAGUGUAUCAGCAGUCAGACAGAUUGGUUACUACCCCGGGGUUUUGGGAAUUUGCUGGCUCUCUCGAGGGACAGAAAAAAAGAGGACGUGAUAAGAGGAGUGAGAGGUGUAGAUGGACUGCCAUCAUGUGGAUCUGCUGCCCACUGCUUCUGCAGAGAGAGGAAAAACUGACCCACAGAGGGCUUACCUUUCUACACUGCAUGGUGGGUGGUGCAGUGAUGCUACCAUAUUAUAAUAUUAAUAGUUGAGCUUAAAAUAUUAAUAUUAUACUUUAAAGUUCAUUUUAAUUUUAGUUAAGAUUCUGUCAUUUUGUUAUCUGCUUUUAUAAUUCAUAUUAGUAUUUGUUUUUUAUAUUUAUACACACAUACAUGUGUGUGUGUGUGUGUGUGUGUGUGUGUGUGUGUGUGUGUGUGUGUGUGUGUGUGUGUGUGUGUUUGUGUGUGUGUUGUUUUAUUAUUAUAGUAAUAACAUUUUAAAUUAACUUAUUUUCAUUUUUUUAUGUAUUUGAUUCAAACAUUUCAUUACUGCAUAAUAAAGUGGUAUUGAUUUAGUAACA